AUUUUAUUCAGUUCGAGAAAAACGAAUUCUAUUUCAAAUCCAAAAAAAAAAAAUUACCUACAAUAAAAAUGCAAUUAACAAAAUUAUUUUUCAUUUUUGCUUUAAUCUUCGCUGCAUUUGUCACUGCUGAAGUAAAAGCAGAACAAUGCCACCCUGGACGGCAUAUCAGUUGUAACCAAGGUUGUUUAAUGGCUGGACAACGAGGUGGCUAUUGUGUUGAAGUUCCUCCAAAUAGCUGGUCCUGUAAAUGUGUAUAAAAUCAGUCAAUAUACAUAAUAAAAAUAAAUGGGUAAAAUAUUGGGAAUGGAAACGUAAAAAUCGAAUUUUAAUUGUAUGAUAUUAUAUGAUAUUGUAUGAUAUUUUGUGCAUAUAAAAUUACUAAAUAAAAUACAAUGUCAGAUACGUUUAAAUAAUCAGAA